GCAUAUCAAUAAGCGGAGGAAAAGAAACCAACAGGGAUUGCCCUAGUAACGGCGAAGUGAAGCGGCAACAGCUCAAAUUUGAAAUCUGGUCCCUCGGGGCCCGAGUUGUAAUUUGCAGAAGGAUGCUUUUGGCGCGGUGCCUUCCGAGUGCCCUGGAACGGGACGCCACAGAGGGUGAGAGCCCCGUAUGGUCGGACACCAAGCCUAUGUAAAGCUCCUUCGACGAGUCGAGUAGUUUGGGAAUGCUGCUCAAAAUGGGAGGUAAACCCCUUCUAAAGCUAAAUACUGGCCAGAGACCGAUAGCGCACAAGUAGAGUGAUCGAAAGAUGAAAAGCACUUUGAAAAGAGAGUUAAAAAGCACGUGAAAUUGUUGAAAGGGAAGCGUUUGCGACCAGACUUGCGCCCGUCGGCUCAGCCGUCCCUCGUGGGCGGUGCACUCCGGCGGGCUCAGGCCAGCAUCAGUUCGCUGCAGGGGGAGAAAGGCGGUGGGAAUGUGGCUCUUCGGAGUGUUAUAGCCCGCCGCGUAAUACCCCUCGGCGGACUGAGGACCGCGCGUAAGCAAGGAUGCUGGCGUAAUGGUCGUCAGCGACCCGUCUUGAAACACGGACCAAGGAGUCGUCCUAAUAUGCGAGUGUUUGGGUGUCAAACCCCAGCGCGUAAUGAAAGUGAACGCAGGUGAGAGCUUCGGCGCAUCAUCGACCGAUCCUGAUGUUCUCGGAUGGAUUUGAGUACGAGCAUAUUGGGCCGGACCCGAAAGAAGGUGAACUAUGCCUGUAUAGGGUGAAGCCAGAGGAAACUCUGGUGGAGGCUCGCAGCGGUUCUGACGUGCAAAUCGAUCGUCAAAUAUGGGCAUGGGGGCGAAAGACUAAUCGAACCUUCUAGUAGCUGGUUUCCGCG
rnacentral:rRNA from 1 species